UCUUAUUCUGUAUUCUGAGUGUGUACUUGCAAGUUGUUAAUAUCUAAGGUUUUUUUUUUUAAACCUUAAAUCAUAUUUAACGUUUUUGCUUACUUCAUCUGUUCUUUAGACAUUGCCAGAUUUUCUUCUUUGUUAAAAUUAUUUUAAUUUCACUUUAUUUGUGCCUUUAUUGUCAGUUUCAUCAAGACUAAGAUUUUGAAGGUGAAAAACAAUCAGUCUAGUCUCUUGCUAGUUCAAAUCAAAUAA
rnacentral:lncRNA from 1 species